CUGAUGUUAGCGGCGGACGGGUGAGUAACACGUGGGUAACCUGCCUGAAAGACUGGGAUAACUCCGGGAAACCGGGGCUAAUACCGGAUGGUUGUUUGAACCGCAUGGUUCAAACAUAAAAGGUGGCUUCGGCUACCACUUACGGAUGGACCCGCGGCGCAUUAGCUAGUUGGUGAGGUAACGGCUCACCAAGGCAACGAUGCGUAACCGACCUGAGAGGGUGAUCGGCCACACUGGGACUGACACACGGCCCACACUCCUACGGGAGGCAGCAGUAGGGAAUCUUCCGCAAUGGACGAAAGUCUGACGGACCAACGCCGCGUGAGUGAUGAAGGUUUUCGGAUCGUAUAGCUCUGUUGUUAGGAAAGAACAAGUACCGUUCGAAUAGGGCGGUACCUUGACGGUACCUAACCAGAAAGCCACGGCUAACUACGUGCCACCAGCCGCGGUAAUACGUAGGUGGCAAGCGUUGUCCGGAAUUAUUGGGCGUAAAGGGCUCGCAGGCGGUUUCUUAAGUCUGAUGUGAAAGCCCCCGGCUCAACCGGGGAGGGUCAUUGGAAACUGGGGAACUUGAGUGCAAAAAAAGAGAGUGUAAUUCCACGUGUAGCGGUGAAAUGCAUAUAGAUGUGAAGGAACACCAGUGGCGAAAGCGACUCUCUGGUCUGUGACUGA
rnacentral:rRNA from 1 species